UACGGGGGGGGCAAGCGUUGUUCGGAAUUACUGGGCGUAAAGGGCUCGUAGGUGGCCAACUAAGUCAGACGUGAAAUCCCUCAGCUUAACUGGGGAACUGCGUCUGAUACUGGGAUGGCUUGAGUUUGGGAGAGGGAUGCGGAAUUCCAGGUGUAGCGGUGAAAUGCGCAGAUAUCAGGAGGAACACCGGUGGCGAAGGCGGGUCUCUGGGCAACUACUGACGCUGAGGAGCGAAAGCGUGGGGAGCGAACAGG
rnacentral:rRNA from 1 species